rnacentral:rRNA from 1 species
CCUACGGGAGGCAGCAGUGGGGAAUCUUGGACAAUGGGCGCAAGCCUGAUCCAGCGACGCCGCGUGGGUGACGAAGGCCUUCGGGUUGUAAAGCCCUUUUCCCAGGGAAGAUGAUGACGGUACCUGGGGAAUAAGCACCGGCUACCUCCGUGCCAGCAGCCGCGGUAAU